AUCACUGUGGUUGACUUUUGGUGGAGGAACCAAACUCAUCAUUAACUCUGGCACCAUGGUCAGGCCCUCAGUCUCUCUGCUUCCCCCCUCCUCUGAGCAGCUCUCUGGGGGCUCGGCCACGCUGGCCUGCCUGCUGACCGGCUACUCUCCUCAGGGAGCCGUGGUGAGCUGGCAGGUGGACGGUACGGAGGUGACGGAGGGGGUCCUGAGCAGCUCAGAGGAGGAGAAGAGCGGCCGCUACAGCAGCAGCAGCACCCUGAGCCUGAGCCAGGAGCGCUGGAUGGAAGGAGAGCUGUACUCCUGCAGGGUCCUCCAUCAGGGCCACAGCCAGACCCAGUCCCUCCACAGGAGCCAGUGUAAGGGCUAGAGGGGCCGGCUGAAGCCCAGGACAGGAGCUCUGUGUGGGGGGGAGCAGCUCUGAUCAAUAGCAGUUUGAAUGCUUGUAGAGGAAACUGAAGCUUUGUGUGACAGAGAACAACACUGCUGUAAAGUGUUGGACAACAACAACUUAGAGAGGAAUGUGUGUCGCUCAGCAGC